rnacentral:tRNA from 1 species
GGGUAUAGCUCAGAGGUAGAGUGCGUGCCUAGCCUGCACAAGGUCCUGGGUUCAACCCCUAGUACUGCCA